rnacentral:rRNA from 1 species
UCAUGGCCGCGGGAUUGUGCCAGCAGGCCGCGGCGCAGGAACCCGAGGCGGCUCAGGAAGCACCGGCGGAUGAACCCAAGGUGCAGCGCCCGGCACCGCAAAUGCGCAGCGAGGCGUUGGCCGCAGGGCUGCAACGGCAGCUCGACGCCGCCGCCCAGCUGCAACUGGGCGAGGAGGACAAGUUCCUUGCGCUCUGGCGGCCGGCGAACACGGCAAAGGCCCGCGGCCUGCUGGCAC